rnacentral:rRNA from 1 species
UACGUAGGGGGCAAGCGUUGUCCGGAAUUAUUGGGCGUAAAGAGCGUGUAGGCGGCCAGAUAAGUCCGCUGUGAAAUCUCGAGGCUCAACUUCGAGCUGUCGGUGGAAACUAUCUGGCUAGAGUCCGGAAGAGGAGAAUGGAAUUCCUGGUGUAGCGGUGAAAUGCGCAGAUAUCGGGAAGAACACCCGUGGCUAAGGCGGCUCUCUAGUACGGUACUGACGCUGAGACGCGAAAGCGUGGGGAGCGAACAGG